UUCAGUGAGAACCCUAGCCUCCAUCCCCUCCCUUCUCCCCCUCGCGCCGCCUCCCCCAUUCUCUCCCGUCGCUGCUGCUCCCCUCGCGCCGCCUUCCUCAUCCUCUCCCGUCGCUGUUGCUCCAUCUCGCGCCGCCUCCCUCAUCCUCUCCCGUCACUGCUGCUCCCCCUCGCACUGCCCCCCAGCCUCCUCACCUGGACACGGCGACCAUGAGCGCCAGCGAGAGGAGGAAGGCUGGCGACUGGGCACUGCCGUACGAGGGGCCCGCCCUCUGCGCGCAUGCCAUCGCCGUCACCACCAACGCCGGGGGCCACGGCCAUGCAUCGCCAUCACCGGGAGGAGCGUCGGCCGCCGAGACGGCCGUCCACGUCGCUGUUGCCGUCGUCCUCGCCCCGACAGAUCGUCUCUCCGGCGCGGACUCCUCCUUCGACCACAACGCCGGCAAGUGGAACGGCAUCUUCUAGGCUGUAUAUCAAGCAGGCUUCGUCCGGGAUAACAUUUGCAGACGAAGAUGAUCCCGAGCCAGAGUGGGCAGCACAAGAUCAAAGAAACCAACAUGUUCACCGUAGUGCACAGAUAGGGAGGGUUCUUUCCUGAACAGAGGGCAUUUGUGUUGAGAUAUCAGACAACUAGGAUGCUGGAGACUGUCCUUCGAGCCAGUGAGCUUGGAGAAGAUGAUACGGGCGAAGAAUACCCCAAGUUAUUCUGAAGUCUGUGCUUCGUGACAAGUUGGAACUAUUGCCUUUGGCCAUAUUUCAUGGGAUGUUGUACUUUUUUGCGGGGUCAAGUAACAUCUAUAAACAUUAUUGAUGGUCCUGCUUGCACUCACGGGGAUUAAUGGCUCGGAUGAACUGAUGCAGGGGAUUUACACAGGACAAAAGUAUCUGUCUAUAUCAACAGGAGGUCUUAGGUUUGGCACUAGCAAUAGUAAUUGGAUGUGUCAUUUCUUCAACCUGGCACCUCCGUGGGUAACGCUGUUCUUUCCAUGUGGAUAUACUCAGGGCAGGGGCACACAACUACUAAUUUUUUAUCUUCAGCACGUGGUUAGCUCAUGGACUGGGUUGCUUAUUGUAAUGGUUAGUACUGCAGUGCACAAUACCACCAAUUUUCAUUUGCAUCCGGUCGCUACUGAUUUACUCGUAUGAGAUUGGAAAUGUUGACACAUUUUAUGAAGCUAUUUUAGGAUUUGUAGCUUUGAGCUAAACCCACAUUUGUUUUAGUCAACAUAUAUUCCUGGAUGAUUUCAAACUGAUAUUAUUUUUGUAAGUUCAGGUUUGCACUUGGCUUUA